ensembl:scaRNA
AACCAAUGUGCCAGUGGGGCUAUGGGUGGCCCUUUUCUCCUCAGUCAGGGCUGGAGGCCAAGAUCAGCCUUGAGGAUUAUCAGGGCUGCCACAAGCUGGGCAGCCUUGUCUUCCUACCUCAGACAUUU